rnacentral:tRNA from 1 species
GCCGGGGUGGCUCAGCCGGUCAGAGCGCCGGACUCAUAAUCCGGAGUCUCAUUCGAGACGGAAGUCGCGGGUUCGAACCCCGCCCCCGGCA